rnacentral:lncRNA from 1 species
AUACUCAAAUAAUAACUCGAAGAAACCAUAUAAUCAUUGUUUGCACCGCUGGAGUGGACUACCUAAGUUUUUUUUUUUUUUUUUAAAAAAUAUUUAAUCUACAAGUCAACCCACGAAGUGCAUAUGAAUUACUUAAGUAAUGAUUUAUAUAUAAUCGACGACAAGAUCAUGGUGGUUUAGUGUGGUCACUUAACAUACACGACAAAUUUGAGUAAUUAUUAUUAUAUAGCUUCGGAUAUUGUUUUCAAUUCAAC